rnacentral:lncRNA from 1 species
UGUUGUUGUGGCUGUGAGAAGGCGGCGGCGGCGGCGGAGCAGCAGCCGGACCAGACUCCCUAGUAGCUCAGGCGCUGCCCUGCGCCGGCCCUGGCAGGGAGCCUGGGAGGUGAGUGUGCGCCCUUCGCUCCCUGCCGUGUCUGUGAGGGUCCAUCGUUGCCGGAGACUGGAGGUCGGGGGCCAUGGGAGCCCCGGGGCGAACGGUGCGGACAUGGGCCUUGUGGAAAGGAGGAGUGACCGCCUGAGCGUGCAGCAGGACAUCUUCCUGACCUGGUAAUAAUUAGUAAAGUGACUUCCCAAGCAUGGGUGGCAGCUGUUCAAGUCCAUCUGGUCAAGAAUUCACUAAGAUCAUAAUGUGAAAGUUGCUCAAGUGCAGAUUUGCACGACAGCCUGCAAAUGUUCCUUUGGAGACGAAAUGGUUUCUCAGGUCAAUGAUCUGCAUAUUUAAAAGUCUCUAGGACACCCUAAGAUGGCGGCGAGGGAGACGGUGAAGGUUGGCUCCCGCCUGUCUGGGCUCUGAUCCUCUGUCUCCCCCUCCCCCUGCGGCCGGCUC